UGGGGAAUAUUGCACAAUGGGCGCAAGCCUGAUGCAGCAACGCCGCGUGGGGGAUGAAGGCCUUCGGGUUGUAAACCCCUUUUAGCAGGGAAGAAGCGAAAGUGACGGUACCUGCAGAAAAAGCGCCGGCUAACUACGUGCCAGCAGCCGCGGUAAUACGUAGGGCGCAAGCGUUGUCCGGAAUUAUUGGGCGUAAAGAGCUCGUAGGCGGUUUGUCGCGUCUGCUGUGAAAGUCCGAGGCUCAACCUCGGAUCUGCAGUGGGUACGGGCAGACUAGAGUGUGGUAGGGGAGACUGGAAUUCCUGGUGUAGCGGUGGAAUGCGCAGAUAUCAGGAGGAACACCAAUGGCGAAGGCAGGUCCCUGGGCCAUAACUGACGCUGAGGAGCGAAAGCGUGGGGAGCGAACAGGAUUAGAUACCCUGGUAGUCCACGCCGUAAACGGUGGGCACUAGAUGUGGGGGCCUCUUUCCAUGAGUUCCGCGUCGCAGCUAACGCAUUAAGUGCCCCGCCUGGGGAGUACGGCCGCAAGGCUAAAAACUUAAAGGAAUUG
rnacentral:rRNA from 1 species